rnacentral:tRNA from 1 species
CCUGGGGAAAUAGCUCAAUUGGUAGAGUGCUUGCCUAGCAUGCACAAGCCCUGGGUUCAAUCCCCAGCACUACAGAA